UUCACGGAGAGUUUGAUCCUGGCUCAGGACGAACGCUGGCGGCGUGCUUAACACAUGCAAGUCGAACGAUGAACCACUUCGGUGGGGAUUAGUGGCGAACGGGUGAGUAACACGUGGGCAAUCUGCCCUUCAC
rnacentral:rRNA from 1 species